CCUACGGGAGGCAGCAGUGAGGAAUAUUGGUCAAUGGACGCAAGUCUGAACCAGCCAUGCCGCGUGCAGGAUGACGGCUCUAUGAGUUGUAAACUGCUUUUGUACAAGGGUAAACCCCGAUACGUGUAUCGGGUUGAAAGUAUCUUACGAAUAAGGAUCGGCUAACUCCGUGCCAGCAGCCGCGGUAAUACGGAGGAUCCGAGCGUUAUCCGGAUUUAUUGGGUUUAAAGGGUGCGUAGGCGGGUUGUUAAGUUAGAUGUGAAAUGUCGGGGCUCAACCCUAAAACUGCAACUAAUACUGGUGGACUUGAGAAUAGUUGCGGUAGGCGGAAUGUAUGGUGUAGCGGUGAAAUGCUUAGAGAUCACACAGAACACCGAUUGCGUAGGCAGCUUACCAAACUAUAACUGACGUUGAGGCACGAAAGCGUGGGUAGCAAACAGGAUUAGAUACCCUGGUAGUC
rnacentral:rRNA from 1 species